GUUCAUCAAAUAGCAGCGCUCUUAUCGCGCUACCAAAUUUGGUCACCUGUCAGUCGCGCUACUGUUAUAGCAGCGCGUUUAGUAGCGACCGGUAAAGUGUCAAGUAAUGAUACUGCGCUGCCAAACGGCUUAAACUCACCACCGGUAAUCUUGCUCUAAGCAAGUUAGUUUACUGCUUGUGACAGUGGUUGUGGAAAAAAGAAAAGCUAAUUAGAAAUCCGUUGAUCGGAAUUAUGAUGAUUCUAGAGCCUGUUCUAGAGUGUUUUUGCGCGACAAUCAUAAGCUUGUCAGGAUAUGGCCAACUAUAGUCGAUUUGGUGAUCUGAUGGAAAUGCAGGUCAAACACAGUCUGGGCCAUUGCCAAAAAGAGCAUCCAACUAUCUCAAACCGAAUACAAAAAGCAGUUCCGGUCGGAGAUCGAGGCUUCCAAGGAACGCAUUCGGAAGCGAGCAUAAGGAAAGAAGCACAAAAAACUAGGAGGAACAUAAAGCCCGUUUGGAUUAUAUAGAUAGUGGAAUAUCUACUAUCUUUAGUUUGGAUCCAGUGGAGGACCUCGGAUCUCUUCUCGAUGAAUUGCAAGUGUUUCGAAACUCGCGAUAUUGGAAUGCUGUAGGAAGUGAUGAGUAUUCUGCUCGAGGAAGAAGCUCGCUAUCACUUUACACGUUGUGUAGAUUCCGGUAUGUUCGUUCCGGUUGACGAUGUUAGACAGA